rnacentral:rRNA from 1 species
GAUGAACGCUGGCGGCGUGCCUAAUACAUGCAAGUCGAGCGAACGGACGAGAAGCUUGCUUCUCUGACGUUAGCGGCGGACGGGUGAGUAACACGUGGAUAACCUACCUAUAAGACUGGGAUAACUUCGGGAAACCGGAGCUAAUACCGGAUAAUAUUUUGAACCGCAUGGUUCAAAAGUGAAAGACGGUCUUGCUGUCACCUAUAGAUGGAUCCGCGCUGCAUUAGCUAGUUGGUAAGGUAACGGCUUACCAAGGCAACGAUGCAUAGCCGACCUGAGAGGGUGAUCGGCCACACUGGAACUGAGACACGGUCCAGACUCCUACGGGAGGCAGCAGUAGGGAAUCUUCCGCAAUGGGCGAAAGCCUGACGGAGCAACGCCGCGUGAGUGAUGAAGGUCUUCGGAUCGUAAAACUCUGUUAUUAGGGAAGAACAUAUGUGUAAGUAACUGUGCACAUCUUGACGGUACCUAAUCAGAAAGCCACGGCUAACUACGUGCCAGCAGCCGCGGUAAUACGUAGGUGGCAAGCGUUAUCCGGAAUUAUUGGGCGUAAAGCGCGCGUAGGCGGUUUUUUAAGUCUGAUGUGAAAGCCCACGGCUCAACCGUGGAGGGUCAUUGGAAACUGGAAAACUUGAGUGCAGAAGAGGAAAGUGGAAUUCCAUGUGUAGCGGUGAAAUGCGCAGAGAUAUGGAGGAACACCAGUGGCGAAGGCGACUUUCUGGUCUGUAACUGACGCUGAUGUGCGAAAGCGUGGGGAUCAAACAGGAUUAGAUACCCUGGUAGUCCACGCCGUAAACGAUGAGUGCUAAGUGUUAGGGGGUUUCCGCCCCUUAGUGCUGCAGCUAACGCAUUAAGCACUCCGCCUGGGGAGUACGACCGCAAGGUUGAAACUCAAAGGAAUUGACGGGGACCCGCACAAGCGGUGGAGCAUGUGGUUUAAUUCGAAGCAACGCGAAGAACCUUACCAAAUCUUGACAUCCUUUGACAACUCUAGAGAUAGAGCCUUCCCCUUCGGGGGACAAAGUGACAGGUGGUGCAUGGUUGUCGUCAGCUCGUGUCGUGAGAUGUUGGGUUAAGUCCCGCAACGAGCGCAACCCUUAAGCUUAGUUGCCAUCAUUAAGUUGGGCACUCUAAGUUGACUGCCGGUGACAAACCGGAGGAAGGUGGGGAUGACGUCAAAUCAUCAUGCCCCUUAUGAUUUGGGCUACACACGUGCUACAAUGGACAAUACAAAGGGCAGCGAAACCGCGAGGUCAAGCAAAUCCCAUAAAGUUGUUCUCAGUUCGGAUUGUAGUCUGCAACUCGACUACAUGAAGCUGGAAUCGCUAGUAAUCGUAGAUCAGCAUGCUACGGUGAAUACGUUCCCGGGUCU